rnacentral:tRNA from 1 species
AAAAUAAGUAAAUACAAUAAUGAACUUCUAAUUCUAUUAUUAAAUGAUUCACCUCAUUUUUAUUUUU